rnacentral:misc_RNA from 1 species
AGUUAAACAGUACGUGAAAUUGUUGAAAGGGAAACGAUUAAAGUCAGUCGUACCUACGAGUAAUCAACCUACACGAGCGCGAUUUUGUGGGUAUGAAGAGGUAAAAACCUUCAUGCUUGCUAAUUGGUGUUCUUUGGGCGUACUUUCUCGUAUGGUUGGUUAACAUCAAUUUCGAUCGUUAUAAAAUGACGGGAGGAAUGUAGCUUCGACUUCGGUUGAAGUGUUAUAGCCUCUGGUAGAUGUAAUGAUUGGGAUUGAGGAUUGCAACGGAUACCCUCUGGGCUAUUCGUCUGAUCUCUGGAAGUUACCUUGGUGUCGAAAGCGUGCUUAUGACAUUAAGAAUGACGGCCAAAAGGUUAGAACGGAAUUAAAUUCGUUAAGGAUGUUGACGUAAUGGCUUUAAA